UACGGGGGGGGCAAGCGUUGUUCGGAAUUACGGGGCGUAAAGGGCUCGUAGGCGGCCAACUAAGUCGGACGUGAAAUCCCCAGGCUCAACCUGGGAACUGCGUCCGAUACUGGAUGGCUUGAAUCCGGGAGAGGGAUGCAGAAUUCCAGGUGUAGCGGUGAAAUGCGUAGAUAUCUGGAGGAAUACCGGUGGCGAAGGCGGCAUCCUGGACCGGCAUUGACGCUGAGGAGCGAAAGCCAGGGGAGCAAACGGG
rnacentral:rRNA from 1 species